GGAGAAGUACCCAAGUGGCCGAAGGGGCUCCCCUGCUAAGGGAGUAGUGUGGCUAAAACCGCAGCGAGGGUUCAAAUCCCUCCUUCUCCGCCA
rnacentral:tRNA from 1 species